CAGAGUUCUCUGACCGAGGCGAACGCGACCCGCGACUGGGUCCGAUUGGAAAUCGCUUCUCCGGCCACCUCUCCGCGGCGGACCACCGGCAACAGCUUCGUCUCAGUGGGGCCUACGUCCCUGUGGUCUCAGAUUGUACAUGCAGCGACUGUGAAGGGAGAAUCGACGGUGAGAGUGUCUGACUGUUCCGGCGAAUUCAAGCGAUUUCCGGCCACCUUCUGGGCCGCAUUCGCUCGGGUUCGACACUGCUGCUUACGCCGGCGACAUUCCUGACGGUUCUCAGUUCGUUUCUGUUUGGUUUCUGGUACGAUUGCUUCUGUAGACGAGGUCUAACCCUGUUUGGAAGUCCAGUUUUCAAGAUUCCUGCGUGAAACGUCAAAGCUUUGGUAUCAGUUCGUCCUCGGGUUUCCAGAAAGCUGAUGCGAGGGAGUUGGAACCCAGACUGCAAAUCGGACUUGUUGAAGGUAAACUCGGAAGUUCUGCUCAAAUCGUUAUCCCUGAAAGCUAAGGGACUAAGUUGGUUAUGCGAUGUUGACUGCAUGAACAGAAUGGGUGUUUGUGUCUUGGUUUGGGUAGAUGAAGUUGUAUGGUUUGGUGAUUUGGGAUUAAUUGUUUCUGGUUUUGCAAGUUAAAGUCUUGUUAGUAUGGGUAAGGCAGGUUAUUCGAAAUGAUUGUGAAAAGUUUGAGAAAUGGGUAAGUUAGGAUCUUGGGUGUCCUUAGUGUUUUGAGUACACCAUAUUUGAGAUUAAAAUUGUGAACUGGGUGUCCAUAGUAAAUUCCAUCGAAUUACUAUGCGACAAAAUGUGAAUUGGAAGUAAAAGACCAAGUGUCGGAUGAAUUGAGAUAAAUCGUUGAAGAAAUCGGAAACAUGAUCUUUGUUUGUGCAUAUGUUAAAUUGAUAGUGAGUAAAGAAAAGAAAUUAAUAUAUAUAUUGGGUGACCUUAGUGAAUCGGGUGCACUCAAUAUAUGUUUAGUCGAUAUUGUAAUUUCAAGUAAAUGUUCGAUAAUUCGAGUUAAUUAUCGAACUUGUCGCGGUUGGUCAAACAAUGGUCAAAAUGGUUAACUCCUGGUCAAACCAGGAAAAGUUGGUUGGACGAUUUAUUAAUCGUCGAUAUUUCAUAUAAUUGUUCAAUAUGAUAUUAACGGUCGAAAUGUCGGAAUCUAGGACUCCAGUUACCCGAGGAACGGAAGGUUCGUGACUCUCGGAGUACGUGAGAGAAAGCGUCGGAAUCCAGUAUGGAUGCAGGUACUGUGCACUGGUAACGGGACAAUGGCGGACGGAGCUGGGUGUGCAGAACAAGUUUGGUAAACCCCCUUCUGGGCUUUAUUCUGAUUACUAUUUCCCGAACUUUGUGUCCUGAAACUUGUGUGAAACUAUUCUUGGGUCAAACCUAGCUAAAUUCUUAUUCCUUAAAUUUUGUAUCUCUUGAGUGAGCUUUCAUUUCAAGUCUAGACGAACAAAUUGAACCUAGCGAUUCAAGGAUUUUCACCUCAAAAAUAUUGGUAGC